rnacentral:rRNA from 1 species
AUUGAACGCUGGCGGCAUGCCUUACACAUGCAAGUCGAACGGCAGCACGGGUGCUUGCACCUGGUGGCGAGUGGCGAACGGGUGAGUAAUACAUCGGAACAUGUCCUGUAGUGGGGGAUAGCCCGGCGAAAGCCGGAUUAAUACCGCAUACGAUCUACGGAUGAAAGCGGGGGACCUUCGGGCCUCGCGCUAUAGGGUUGGCCGAUGGCUGAUUAGCUAGUUGGUGGGGUAAAGGCCUACCAAGGCGACGAUCAGUAGCUGGUCUGAGAGGACGACCAGCCACACUGGGACUGAGACACGGCCCAGACUCCUACGGGAGGCAGCAGUGGGGAAUUUUGGACAAUGGGCGAAAGCCUGAUCCAGCAAUGCCGCGUGUGUGAAGAAGGCCUUCGGGUUGUAAAGCACUUUUGUCCGGAAAGAAAUCCUUGGCCCUAAUACGGUCGGGGGAUGACGGUACCGGAAGAAUAAGCACCGGCGAACUACGUG